rnacentral:rRNA from 1 species
GGGGCCCGAGUUGUAAUUUGCAGAGGGUGUUUCGGGCGCGAUGCCGGUCUAAGUUCCUUGGAACAGGACGUCGUAGAGGGUGAGAAUCCCGUAUGCGACCGGCGGUCAAGUCCGUGCGAAGCCCCUUCGACGAGUCGAGUUGUUUGGGAAUGCAGCUCAAAAUGGGUGGUAAAUUUCAUCUAAAGCUAAAUACCGGCCAGAGACCGAUAGCGGACAAGUAGAGUGAUCGAAAGAUGAAAAGCACUUUGGAAAGAGAGUCAAACAGUACGUGAAAUUGUUGAAAGGGAAGCGCUUGCGAUCAGACCGGUCCGCCGGCGAUCAGCCGCUGCUCGUCAGCGGUGCACUCGCCGGCGAUCCGGCCAGCAUCGGUUCAGGCGGCGGGACAAAAACCUCGGGAAUGUAGCUUCUCUCGGGGAGUCUUAUAGCCCGGGGCAUCAUGCCGCCCGCCCGGACCGAGGACCGCGCUUCGGCUAGGAUGCUGGCGUAAUGGUCGCAAGCG